UUUAAUAUGGCAGAAACAGUGCAAUGAGUUUAAGCCUCAUAUAUAAAAUUUAGAUUUUUAUUAAAA
rnacentral:tRNA from 1 species